ensembl:lncRNA
CACUGGUAAACAACAACGGGCUUGUUAGGUAGCUAAAACACAAACACUGGUUAACAACAACUGGCUUGUUAGGUAGCUAAAACACAAACACUGGUUAACAACAACGGGCUUGGUAGGUAGCUAAAACACAAACACUGGUUAACAACAACAUCCGUAAAGUAUUCAGACGCCUUCCCUUUUUUUCACAUUUUGUUAAGUUACAGGCUUAUUCGAAAAUUGAUUAAAUAUGUUUUUCUUCAUUAAUCUACACACCAUAAUGAGAAAAAGAAAAAACAUACUAUUUGGGGAAUUUUUUGCAAAUGUAAAACAAAUAAAAAACA